rnacentral:lncRNA from 1 species
UGUCACGUUUUAAGUUGGUUUCACACUUUGGAUUCAACUCAAGAUCUAGUCAGCCGGUGAGUUCAAAAUUUUCUUUUCUGGCAACAGUUGUAUCAUUGGUCCAAAUUGACAGCCAGGGAAUCACUGUAACAACACAAUAAUGCAUCUUUUCGUGAGAGCAGAAAAACACAGGCCUUUCCAUGAAUCAGAAGCCACGCCUCAAAUCAUGAACCAUUAUUACUCUUGGAGGGUGAAACCCACGUUGAUUGGAACUAUUCCCUCUAAACAUUGUUCAAACCAAAGGAUUGAAAUUUUUCAUUUCCUCUGUUAUAUCACAUUCUCUUUUUCAAUGUUGCUACCAAUGCAACAACACCACCAACCCCCUCAGACUUGCUAAUGCUAGUUUUCACUCGCACUACAACAACUCAUUCAACCUAAAAUAUAGCAGUACGGAAUCUGUAUACAGAGACAAUAAAGUUAAUGACAUCUUGUACCUAAUCCCUCUGUUUUCUUGUGCUGAGUGCAGAUUAGACCCCCUUGCUCUUUUGUUGUAUCUGAAUGUGUAUGGACCCGAAGGAGAGAAAAAUCUGACACCC